rnacentral:pre_miRNA from 1 species
GAAUAAAUGUUUUGACCCUCGAAUGACGAGUACCCGAUGUCCAGUGGUACCUUCUGUAUUGAGAAGAAGGACUCCUUUACAUCGGGCACCUGUCAAUGAGUAGCGUUAAUUCU